GAGUUUGAUCCUGGCUCAGGACGAACGCUGGCGGCGUGCUUAACACAUGCAAGUCGAACGGACCUUCUUGACUUCGGUUGGGUUGGUUAGUGGCGAACGGGUGAGUAACACGUGAGUAACCUGCCCUUCACUUUGGGAUAACUGUGGGAAACUUCAGCUAAUACCGGAUAUUCAUUUUCUCCUGCAUGGGGGUUUGUGGAAAGAUUUUUUGGUGGGGGAUGGGCUCGCGGCCUAUCAGCUUGUUGGUGGGGUGAUGGCCUACCAAGGCUUUGACGGGUAGCCGGCCUGAGAGGGCGACCGGCCACACUGGGACUGAGAUACGGCCCAGACUCCUACGGGAGGCAGCAGUGGGGAAUAUUGCACAAUGGACGGAAGUCUGAUGCAGCAACGCCGCGUGCGGGAUGACGGCCUUCGGGUUGUAAACCGCUUUCACUAGGGGCGAAUUUGACGGUACCUGGGGAAGAAGCACCGGCUAACUACGUGCCAGCAGCCGCGGUGAUACGUAGGGUGCGAGCGUUGUCCGGAUUUAUUGGGCGUAAAGAGCUCGUAGGUGGUUUGUUGCGUCGGGAGUGAAAACACACGGCUUAACUGUGUGCUUGCUUUCGAUACGGGCAGACUUGAGGAAGGUAGGGGAGAACGGAAUUCCUGGUGGAGCGGUGGAAUGCGCAGAUAUCAGGAGGAACGCCGGUGGCGAAGGCGGUUCUCUGGACCUUUCCUGACGCUGAGGAGCGAAAGCGUGGGGAGCGAACAGGCUUAGAUACCCUGGUAGUCCACGCCGUAAACGGUGGGCACU
rnacentral:rRNA from 1 species